UACGGGGGGAGCAAGCGUUGUUCGGAUUUACUGGGCGUAAAGGGCGCGUAGGCGGUCAGCACAAGUCAGUUGUGAAAUCUCCGGGCUUAACUCGGAAAGGUCAACUGAUACUGUGCGACUAGAGUGCAGAAGGGGCAACUGGAAUUCUCGGUGUAGCGGUGAAAUGCGUAGAUAUCAGGAGGACACCGGUGGCGAAGGCGGAUCUCUGGGCCAUUACUGACGCUGAGGAGCGAAAGCGUGGGGAGCGAACAGG
rnacentral:rRNA from 1 species